rnacentral:rRNA from 1 species
AUUGAACGCUGGCGGCAUGCCUUACACAUGCAAGUCGAACGGCAGCAUGGAGAGCUUGCUCUCUGAUGGCGAGUGGCGAACGGGUGAGUAAUGCAUCGGAACGUACCGUGUAAUGGGGGAUAACGUAGCGAAAGUUACGCUAAUACCGCAUACGACCUGAGGGUGAAAGCAGGGGAUCGCAAGACCUUGCGUUAUACGAGCGGCCGAUGUCAGAUUAGCUAGUUGGUGAGGUAAAGGCUAAACAAGGCGACGAUCUGUAGCGGGUCUGAGAGGAUGAUCCGCCACACUGGGACUGAGACACGGCCCAGACUCCUACGGGAGGCAGCAGUGGGGAAUUUUGGACAAUGGGGGAAACCCUGAUCCAGCCAUGCCGCGUGAGUGAAGAAGGCCUUCGGGUUGUAAAGCUCUUUCGGCCGGGAAGAAAUCGCACAGGCUAAUACUCUGUGUGGAUGACGGUACCGGCAUAAGAAGCAUCGGCUAAUUAUGUGCCAGCAGCCGCAGUAA